rnacentral:rRNA from 1 species
GUGUCAGCAGCCGCGGUAAUACAGAGACUGCAAGCGUUAUUCGGAUUCACUGGGCGUAAAGGGUGCGCAGGCGGCCGAGUGUGUUAGGCGUGAAAGCCCGUCGCUCAACGACGGAAUUGCACCUAAAACUACUUGGCUAGAGUACUGGAGAGGGUAGUGGAAUUCACGGUGUAGCAGUGAAAUGCGUAGAUAUCGUGAGGAACACCAAUGGCGAAGGCAACUACCUGGACAGUUACUGACGCUCAGGCACGAAAGCGUGGGGAGCAAAAGGGAUUAGAUACCCUCGUAGUCC